ACGGCAGCACGGGAGCAAUCCUGGUGGCGAGUGGCGAACGGGUGAGUAAUGUAUCGGAACGUACCUUUCAGUGGGGGAUAACGUAGCGAAAGUUACGCUAAUACCGCAUAUUCUGUGAGCAGGAAAGCAGGGGAUCGCAAGACCUUGCGCUGAUUGAGCGGCCGAUAUCAGAUUAGCUAGUUGGUGAGGUAAAGGCUCACCAAGGCGACGAUCUGUAGCGGGUCUGAGAGGAUGAUCCGCCACACUGGAACUGAGACACGGUCCAGACUCCUACGGGAGGCAGCAGUGGGGAAUUUUGGACAAUGGGGGCAACCCUGAUCCAGCCAUGCCGCGUGAGUGAAGAAGGCCUUCGGGUUGUAAAGCUCUUUCAGCCGGGAAGAAAUCACAUGGGUUAAUACCCUGUGUGGAUGACGGUACCGGAAUAAGAAGCACCGGCUAACUACGUGCCAGCAGCCGCGGUAAUACGUAGGGUGCGAGCGUUAAUCGGAAUUACUGGGCGUAAAGCGUGCGCAGGCGGUUUGUUAAGAUAGGCGUGAAAUCCCCGGGCUCAACCUGGGAACUGCGUUUAUGACUGGCAGGCUAGAGUAUGGCAGAGGGGGGUGGAAUUCCACGUGUAGCAGUGAAAUGCGUAGAGAUGUGGAGGAACACCGAUGGCGAAGGCAGCCCCCUGGGCCAAUACUGACGCUCAUGCACGAAAGCGUGGGUAGCAAACAGGAUUAGAUACCCUGGUAGUCCACGCCCUAAACGAUGUCAACUAGGUGUUGGGUGGGUAAAACCAUUUAG
rnacentral:rRNA from 1 species